CCAAAAGGUAGCUCAAUAACAAGCGUGCUUCCAGGGGUCCGUACUUCGUCGAACUCGGUGGGGACUUCCUUCGAACGGUAGGUAAUGAAUGCUUGCUUUAAAUUCUUAGACGAUUGCAUGGCCGAUUACCUGCUAAAGUUUUUCAUUGUUUUGAGAUCAAUUUUAUUUUAUUCUGACAAGUUUGUGGGUUUGAUUCGAGAUAGAGUUGGUAAAAUACGAUGUCUGAUGCAAUCGAGCCUGUGAUUCAUAUCAUCUGUUAUUCUUUAUUCUAUUAGGAUAUGGUGGUUCUUCUGGUGGGUUUCCCCUUCUUGCAUCAGAAAAAAACUUCCCGUUGAAGCUUAUGGCUUGGUUAUUUGUGAUUCAUGAGAUUUUGAAUGCAUUUCAAGGAUGAAGUGUGAUCAUCGUGGAGGUUGUGGAAAGGAAAAAACUAAGAUGUGGUUCAUUAGAGUGUGAAAGGUUUGCUUCAAUGGAACUUUCAAAAGAUCUUCUUUGGCUGUGCUAUAAUAUUGGAUUUUUGGCAUCAUUAUUGGCGAGUUAUUAGCACAUCCAUGCCUCAUAACCUUCCAUGAGUUUCAUGUUGCUUGAUUAGUUGGGAGUGCGAAUCUUAUUUUGAAUUUACUACUAACAAGGAAUUAAUUAGGAAAUGAUACCUAAAACAAUAAAUGUGGUGCUAAAGAAUAAAGAGAAUAAGUGAUUGAAGAGUCCUCUUUGAGCUGCCAAACGGAGUUUCAGUUUUUCAGCUAAAAAAUGUGAUUAGGUUUGAAAGCCUUUUGAUUGACCCUGCCAUGAUUUUCUAAUAGAAAAUGUGGUGAAAUUCAAUCAAACAUGUGGAGAAUGAAGUAUGAAAUGUCACUGCAUGACAUCAUGUGAGUAUUUUAAGCUUUUCUUUUCUUUUUUUUUUUUUGUUGGGGGGGGAGGGGGGGGGCGCGGGGGUGGUUUGACAUAUGAGAAGAAUUAUAGAAAAUGAUAUCAUGUUAUCAUUUCAUAGAUCUCCUUUAAGAGAUUGGCGUAUAUAACAACUAUAGGGCCCACAAGAAAUUUGAGUAUAUGAGUGCACAUGAGAGAGAGAGAGAGAGAUCAGUUACAAUUUGUUGGCAUAACUCAAAGAAAUUCUUCAUUCUCAACUAUGAACAGUUUAUCAUUAUCCCUAAUCACUUCAAUGGAGUCAAUUUCUGCUCCUUCUUCAUUUGUUAUAACUGUGCGAUUUGCAACAACUCCAAACUUCUCCCCUGCCAACAAAUAAGAAACUCCAUUUUCAGUUUUAUACAGACUAGACAUUCUUGAAUACAAUAAAUAUGCAUUGCUAAUGAUUCCAACAAGAUAAGAUUUGAAUUAUAUAUGGACUAUGUGGUUUGUCCAAUAGAAGUAAUAGUGAUAAUGCAAAAUGAUUGGUGGUUUUUGUGAUUCCCAUAGCACGAAAUAAGAAACAUAUACAUACCAGCAAUUUCUUUGAGAUCUUCUAUCGUAUUUGGCAAGUUUAUCAGCUUCCCAGCUUCUGAGCUGGAGUUUCUGAGAAAUGGAUGGCCUUUGUAUAUGCUAACUCUUGGAUAAAUUCCACCUCUUGUGCCCCACUUCGUCAUAUGACUUUUUUCCUCUGAAACCUUUAUUUGCUUAAGCUCUUCGUGGGAUUCUAGUAUUGCUAUUGGAUAACCAACUUCUCUCUUUUGUACCAGCUCUUGUAUAUCUGCCUCAGUCAUUUUUCUUGUUUCCAAACUGCUGAGAUUGAUGUUUUCUACAUUGGCGCCGUUCAUGACCAACAACUUAAUCAUGUCUGUGUGGUUUUCAGCAAAUGCUGCUUGCAGGGGAGUUAGUCCUUCAUUAUUCUCUGAAUUUAUGUCUAAACCAUGUUUUAACAACUCCUUUAUUGUAGAAAGAUCAUUUCUUUUUGCUGCAAGGACGAGAAGAUUGCCACCGAUGUGGGGAUUGGAGAUGCAUGCAUAAUGGUACA
rnacentral:lncRNA from 1 species